GUUUAUUUUGUUCCUAUGGUGACGGUUUCACUCCCCCCGCCCCGUGCCCCUGUGACGGAUCCUGGGCGCCGGCGGCUGCCGAUGACGUCAUGUGGACUCCGGAGCAGGCGGCUGCGGCGGUUCCUGAUGCACGUGGUUGCAGCCCUCUCCAUCAGAUAGGAAACCUCUAAAUGUUGUUUCAGGAGUACAAGUAGAUGAUCUGGAAUGGACAAGCUGCCUAGUAGUGCUAUGUGGUGACUGCUCUAUUAAUGAGACUUGGACUGUCAUUUAGAAGAUUCCCAUCUGAUGAAUCGUGCCAUUUAUUUAUAUUAUUGCAAACUCGAACAUCCUUUAUGAUAACUCAAGUACUCCAGUGAAAAUAAAAGACAAUUGAACUGUUA